AUUGAACGCUGGCGGCAGGCCUAACACAUGCAAGUCGAGCGAGCGGCGGACGGGUGAGUAAUGUCUGGGAAACUGCCCGAUGGAGGGGGAUAACUACUGGAAACGGUAGCUAAUACCGCAUACCAUCGGAUGUGCCCAGAUGGGAUUAGCUUGUAGGUGGGGUAACGGCUCACCUAGGCGACGAUCCCUAGCUGGUCUGAGAGGAUGACCAGCCACACUGGAACUGAGACACGGUCCAGACUCCUACGGGAGGCAGCAGUGGGGAAUAUUUGCCAAUGGACGAAAGCCUGAUGCAGCCAUGCCGCGUGUAUGAAGAAGGUCUUCGGAUUGUAAAGUACUUUCAGCAGGGAGGCGUUACCCACAGAAGAAGCACCGGCUAACUCCGUGCCAGCCGCCGCGGUAAUUC
rnacentral:rRNA from 1 species